rnacentral:rRNA from 1 species
AUGUGUGUGCCCAAGAAACGAGGAGGUAUGGGCUUCAGAGAUUUACACUGUUUUAAUAUGGCUAUGUUAGCGAAGCAAUGUUGGAGACUCUUAUCAGAACCAUAUUCUCUCUGUGCUAAAGUUCUGGGAGAAAAAUAUUUCCCCGAUGGAGAUAUCCUAAAUUGCAAACUAAAAAAGGGGAGCUCCUACACUUGGCAAAGUCUGUGGGGAGGAAUCCAGACUUUUAAAAAAGGACACAUUUGGCGGGUCGGUGAUGGCUCUCAGAUAAAUAUAUGGGAUGAUCCCUGGGUUCCGAGUAGCCCUAAUAGGAAUGUUAUGACCCGGAGAGGUAAUAUCAUUGUCACCAAAGUCUCUGAACUUAUUGAUGCUGAAAGUAGGAAGUGGGAUGAACAACUUAUCAGAGAUAUUUUUUGGCCCAUUGAUGCUCAACGAAUAUUAAAAAUUCCAUUGGCCAUUGGUAUGAUGGAAGACUUUGUGUCGUGGCACCUUAAUAGGAACGGGAUCUUCUCUGUUAGAUCGGUGUACCAUCAAGAAUGGGAUCACUAA